AUGUUUCACCACUAUUGUUGUAGAUUUGGAUUCACUGCACCACCAACAGGAUUCAGAUUACGACGGGACUUAAGAACUCUAACAGAAGAAGAAUGGAUUAAAACUGUAAACGUCUUUCUUCAAAUGUAUAAGGAUGGUACUCUUCGCGCAUUUGGCCGUUUGCAUUCUAAAGUAGGUAAAAGCGCACACAGAGGAGCUGCAUUUCUCGUGUGGCAUAGAGUAUUCUUAACACAGGACGUAUCAACUUUAGUCUGUAUAUGUUACAGUAAUAUUUUUCCGUUCGGUUUGUUUUUUGCAUUGAUUUAAAUCCGCACAGGUAUUAGUCAAAUACACGCUUAAUAUGUGUGUUAAAAUGUUUUGGGAUGGGGUGGGGGCAUUAGAUUUACUUAAUACAAAACAUCGUUUUAAGAACCGUAAUUAAUGAUUCCAGUCUUUAGUUUUGACAUAUCUAUAGUUGACAUUAGCAGUACACCCUUUUAUGUCUCGCAAAAAAAGAAGACAAUUUUGAAUGUUCAUAAGAAUUUAUUAACAUUACUUUAUGUAAACAAAUUAAACUUAAUAACCCAUGAUAUUAGUACCAAACCAAAGAAACUAUCAAUAUCAGCAAUAAAAAUUACCCAAUAUUAGCAAUACAAAUUACCCAAUAUCAGCAAUAAAAAUUACCCAAUAUUAGCAAUAAAAGAUCACUUCAUGUUUGUCAUGUUUGCAAUGUAAUAGUGAAUCCCUCUCACGAAAAAUAUUAAUAAGGAACAAAAACAGAUUUUCAAUUAACCAUAAUAGUCAUACAUGAAUGAAAAAUGUCGGUACUAGCAAAAUAUAAUUUAAUCCAUAUUAGCAGUACCAAUUGUCCAUAUGAGAUUUACAAAGAUAGCAAUAAAAACGUCCCUCCAUAGCAAUAUAAAAAUAAUUCCAUAUUAGCAAUAUAAAUGUCGCUUCAUAUUACAAAUAAAAAAGCUCCUUAUCAGCCACUAAGAAGUUACUCUAUAGUAUCUAUACAAAUUUUAAAAGCUCAACUAAAGUUUAUGCUUUUUGUUUAUGUAUUAUCUCCAUGUCGGCAAUACAACAAACAGUUACUCCAUAUUAGAAAAACAAACAUCAUUCCAUAUUAGCAAAUACAAAAUACUCCAUAUGAACAAUACAAAAGUCACCUGCUUAUCAGUGCACUUGAUUUAAAGAUCCCGAAAGUGGUACGCUGUGUGUUGUGUGCUAGUCAUGUUCCGCGUUCAGCCUGAACUGCUUAACCACGGAUUGUUAAUCAACUUAUAAAAUAGUAUCUGGAGUAGAACCAACUUCCAGCACACAAACAACCUGGUAUCAGGCAAUUCCCUUGACGGACAACAGACCUGGCUCAGAAGAUAAAAGAUGCUUUUCAACAGAAGAAGACCACAAUUUGAAUAUGGAUCAAUCUUCAAACAAAUUCUCGGUUUACGGCCUCGUAGUCAAAUAACAGACAGAGAAACAGGAUUUAAGGCAUAGUGUUCAAGUAGAUUAAGUUCUACUAUUAAACAGAAAAAGUUGAUAUAACAAUGAGCCAAGCUUUUCUGUAAAGUCACGAUGUUUGAUAAAUGAGAAAAUCAUCACCAGAUGGUCUGUAUUUUCUCAUCAUCAAUGAUCUGUUGUCUGACCUUCAAGAUGAAUCAAGAAUACACUCUUUGCAGAUAACCGUGUGUAGUUGGUGCACGAAAGAGAUCGUAACAACUGUCACAUAUAAGAUGCAACAAACUGCAGACACGUUAUCCAUGAUGAGAAGAAGCUUGCCAAUCUCAAGAAGUUAUCGGACAACACAUGGAAAGCUGACGUGCUUAUUCUAAGGACUGUAUACCUGGAUACAGUCAUGCAUCACCUUGAAUAUGGCUAACCAGUUAUUGACCAGUUAGCAUGUGUUUGACAAGGUCAAGAACCAAGUCCUUCGUAUGAUCUCAGGAGUAACUAGGUCAGCUCCAAUAAAGACCAUAAAAACGCAUGUUAUUCAACGACUUAGUCAAAGGACGCAGCCACCAUAUAUGUAUCCUGUGGCCUCAGUAUUCAGAAUACAUUGUACAUACAGUCUACUUUCGUUUUUUUACGAGCCAGUAAAAAUAUUAUUAUUCUGAAUGAAAAGAACAGCAUUCGGCAUCCGGUAAGAAUAAAGAUAUUUAAUAUUUAAAAUAACUAAAUAUAAAAUACAAAUGACAAGUUUUACAGUAAUUGAAAGGAACUGUAGAAUAUCAGACACAAACAACGAGAAUUAUAAGAAUAAGGAAAGAUUGAAAAACAAAACAUUAAUGACUAUUAUAUUUAGCAUAACGAAACAUUAAUCAACAGUCUUAAACAUACAAUAACAGUAUCGAAAUAUAGAAUAAAAAUCAUGCCUUUUACAUCGCUGAAAAUUAAUACCAAUCAUGUAGUAAGAAUAACGAAUUAUAAUAAAACAAGAAUGCUGAAAGAAUACUUAAACUUCUGCCAUAUAACUCCAUAUAAUUUGAAAACUUAUUUGGAACAAUAACGUAUCUGCUGUACUUGGUGUAUAAAGCGUUUUUGUUUAAUGAAUUGUUGGCAUGGCCUCCCAGCCCAGGAUAUUAAUGUCUUCAUUAUGUCAUUGCAUUCACGAUAUCAUUCAUGACCUGUUGAAUUCUGUUUGUAUAAACUAUAAACAUAUACUACAACACUUUUCUUAUUGAAAAUUGAAUAACAUUUGGAGAAUCAAAAUAUCAAUAUCAAUUCUCGUAAAAGAUAAGUUAGUUGAUGCUUGUAAAUAUUAAGAAUUUCGAAUAUUUGUUUCUUUUACGCAUCAUUAAGUAUGCUAACCGUUGGUGCAUUCUGAUAUAAAGUAAUCGAAAGUAACAAAAAUUAGAAAGAUGUAUAUACUUCCCUUCCAGCUUUGAGGAAGAAAUGCGAAAAAUUGAUCCAACUGUAUCUCUCCCUUACUGGGACUACUCGGCUGACUUCUAUAUAGCUAAGCCAGCAGAGUCAGUUGUCUGGAGUGACUGUUUCAUGGGCUCAGGGGUCGGUGAGAUUUCAGGAUAUUUUGAAAAAUUUAUGGGGCACAUUAUUCAUAUAUCAGCAGAAAUGCGAACAGUGACUGCUAUGGGAAACUCAUAAAUCUAGAGGAUGUGGACAAGCUUCUGAAAUUUUGCUCGUUUAAGGAUAUAACAACUGGUAUACAAACAGAGGAGGAUUACCAAAACCAAGAGCAUAAUCUUGAGCUAUUGCAUGAUAUGGUACAUGAUUGGGUGGGAGGAGAUAUGGGAAUAGUUCUAAACUCUGCGUUUGAUCCAAUAUUUUAUAUGCACCAUGCAUACAUCGACUACAUUUUUGAAGAGUUUAGAAAUCAUCAAAAACAAGCAGAGAGGUGCAAAUAUAUAGACUUAGAAUCGGAUUAUCGCCCAAUGAAUGACCUUUGCCAAAAAUGCAGCGAUACCGAUACUCGUGGACAUGGACCUGACGAUACAAUGGUGGGAUAUAAUCAUAUUCGAAACAUUGACGGACUCUGGUUAAAUUGGACUACAGAAUUUUAUAAUUACGAACCUAGACCUUCAUGUCCCCACAACUGCAGCGGCAAGUACUUGUACUGCGACAAAAGUUUCGACGCUUCGAAGUAUCCUGAUGGAAUCUGCGUAACUAGAACAAAGAGUGCAGCCACCUGUAACAACCUCCGAGUUAAGAGAGACACAAAAUCAUUGACGCCCUCAAUUUCCUGUGAUAGGCCGGGAAACAAAUUUGAAGUUUUACACGGCGAUGGUAGAAAUAGGCGCAUGUCGGUAAAGACGGCUUUGGAAAAGCUUAAACUGUUCGCCACUAGUUUCCUCGGCACUAAAAAGUCUACCGAAAAAGCGGAAAACGAAUCAAGGCCUUGCAUCACAGGUAUCAUAUUCGGGAUCGGUUUUGGCAUUGAAACCGUGGUGAUAAUUGCGUUGAUAGCCUAUAUAUGUCUUAAAUAUGCACAAUUGAGUGGGGGAGGACAAUAUAUUACGACAAGUACUCAGGAUGCUCUGUAAUCGUUUAUUAUAAAAACAACGGAACAAAGCAUCACAUCAUUGACAUUACAAAUUGACUGCUGUUGACUCAUAAUGUAUAAUUUGAUAGUUGUUGAACAAACCCUUAUAUUCCUUAUUAAAAACGAAACAUGUUAAUUUGAUUUUAUCCCAUUAUUUUAUAUUUUAAUAAGAAUGUUUGCAGUUUUAUGAUAAAUCAGUUUACAGAUAUUCUGAUAAGUUUUGCGUAUUAAUAUGAAUACCACUUGUUACACCUUUUUCAUUUUUAUGAUAUUGGUGGUUAUUGUUUGUUCAACAUAAUCAAACUAUUAUCGAUUAUUUAAUAUUAUCAUGCAUGAAAUACAUGUGUUCUAACUAAGUUGUCCUGUGUAAUAAUGUUAUGCGUAUGCUUCUUAUCUUUGUAAAAAAUCUAAUUUAACUAUAUGAACUUAAUGCCAUAUGGCGCCCGUUACAAUUUUCCAUGUACUUGCUACUUGCACUUGCUGUUGAACAGGCUCAGUCAAACAGAAUAUGCAACAUUAUCAUUCAUGUCGUGUUAGGCGGCCUGUGGUUUUCCACAUUUUUGCAGCGUUGCAUGUGCUGUAUGGCAACUGUAAAAGUCUCCCUAUACUUUCUAUCAAAGCUAUUAUAUUUCGAUAUCUUGUGAUCGUUCAGCACAUCAUUUAUGUUGUGUAAGUGUAUUGUUUAAGUUUUCUGCUUGAACAUUUCGCUUAGGUGGUUCCAAAACUCCUGCGUUAAUAGCUUUGGGAUUUGUUAAGUCACCAGUUUGCCUGCUUUUGGCAGUUUCUGUGAUAUGCAAGCUCGAUAACCUCAGAUCCCCUCUCUAAAUUCCAAUUUGUUUAGUUCUGCCCUUAGUGUUUUAUCUGGGAUCAAAAACUAGGUCACUAGGGUAAAUCAAAGAAAAACUUUGUGUAUGCGAUAGAAGCUGUAUUUUUCAAUUGAUCUUCAUGAAUCUUGGUCAGAAUGAUUGCCUUGAUAAAAUCUAAGUCAAGUUUGAAUAUGGGUCAUCUUAGGUAGAAACUAGGUCACUAGGUCAAAUCAAAGAAAAACCUUGUGUAUGUAAUAAGGGCUGCAUUUUACACUGGAUAUUCAUCAAAUGUAAUCAGAAUGUUUGUUUACUAAUAGAUGAAAUCAAGGUCGAGUUUGAAUAUUGGUCAUCUAGGGUAAAAAACUAUGUCAUCUAGUGUUCGCAACAGGGGCUGCUUUUUACUUUCGAUAUUCAUAAAAUUUAGUCAGAAUGAUUGCCUUGAUGAAAUCUAGCUAAGUUAAAACAUGGGUCAUCUGGGAAACAUGUUUACUUUGUUAUGAUGUGCUUCUCAGGUGAGCGACCUAGGGCCAUCUUGGCCCUCUUGUUACGUAAUUGCUUAGAGUUCUGCUGAGGCCGGUUGGUUUGAGAGAGAGAGAGAGAGAGAGAGAGAGAGAGAGAGCCUAACAGUCUCUACUAAAUUAAAUGUACCGUCCACAUUAUCUUCCAAGGGGACUUUAGGCAGUAGUUUAAUCUGAAUAACAUUUUCUUGUUCUCAGAAAAACUGUACAAUUCGACUUCGGUUGGCAGACACAUUGUCAUGAAUAAGUUUUAUGGCUUUCAAACACUUAUUUGGUCGUUUAUGAUGAUAGAUUCAUUUGACAGCUAUAGUAGUUUAUUUCAUAGAACUUGUCUGUGGUGGCUUUACCUUCUGUGCAGGGAAUUUAUACAACUAGAAUGAAAAACAUGGCAUAGCAUACCUUCUUGCCACAUUUGUCUUUUGUAAUGGCCAAGUACUUGAAUCUCUAAUGCCCGUGGGGGAGGGGAGCGAAUGUAAAAACAAGGAAGAAUAUCCAACAGGGAAAGCCACGUUCCAAAAACGCAGCCUCCCAUAGGCACACACGAACAACACUCGCACACACACACAUACACACACACACACAUGAAAACCAUGAUUUCCAUGAUUUCUUCACAUUUCAUUAUAGCAUUGAAAUUAUAGCAUUGAAAUAUAAUCACUGAAUAUGAUUGUGUAUAUAUUAACGAUUAAUUAAUGUAUAACUUGGUCAAUUGUACUGGAGUUUUUCGAUAUCUUACAGGUAAAUUGACUAAACAUCCGUUUUCAAGUACAUGAAUCUCAUUAUAUAUAUAAUAUAAUGUUUCUACGGAAGGUCGGUAGUGACAGAAUUUAUGUACUUAUCCUCAUAUGAUACCAAUAUCGGCCCUUUUGUCCUCGUCUGUAUGAUAAUUAAACGUAUUAAAAAGUUUGCCUUUUAAUGAAUUGCAACGGACGAGUAAAGCAUUUGGAACGCUGUUAAGCAUCAGUUUGCCUGCUGCCUUUGCAAACUUAAACGACUGGUAAAACCUUGAAGGCUGUAUGUAAGAAUUAAAUGUUAUGUAAGAAUUAGAUAUUGUACAACAGUUUGAUUUUCAAUGUGUGUUGAAGACUGUAUGAUAGUAAGUUCUUAAAUCCCAACUGGACUUAUUGAUUUCUGUCUGUCUUUAGGCCCGUUUCGUCGCGCCUUUAAGGGUGUUUCCAAAAUUGCUCUGUCCUGUACAAAGGCAAUGAGUACACGCAUUGUUUUUGCUUGCACUUUAUAUAAAUUUGCAGGAGCAUUGUUGUUUUUUACAUAACACGUCUUCUAUUGCCAUUGCCUGUGUGUAGCAGAGAUAACUUUUAUUUACACUGUAAGUGACUUAGGAGCAUGGACGGAUAAGAGUGAGUUUAAGUGCACCAUAAAUCUAUUUAACAUCCCAGUGGUGAUUUUGCUUCUGAUCUGUAUCAGGCGGUGCCAAACAGUUUUCCUUUCUCUGUUCGUUUUGACCUCGUGAGUUUACUUUGUGCGUGCAUACGUGCGCGUGUUCGCGUGCGUGUAUGUGUGUGUCUGUGUUUGUGUGUCUGCGUAUUGUUCGUGUGCAUAUAUGUGUGCAUGCUGGGUUGCGGAUUUUGGAGGCUGCGUUUUUGGAUUAUUGAAAGUAGCUUUCCCUGUUGGAUAUUUAUCCUUGUUUUUAGCUUUUAUAAUGAUGCCAAGCACCGGUAUAUAUGGCUUUCCUUUAAAACUUUAUAGAGGCACAGUCGAAUGCAAUGGCCAUACUCUGCCGUAAUACAGCUUUAAAAAUCACAUAUUUGGCAUUAUAUAACUAAAAUAGUGUUUCCGGUACUGUAGUUUCAUGUUUUGUUGCUUAAUUUUAAAAAUUAAUAUGCACUGCAAUCAGACUAUUUGAAUGUUUGUAACUAAACUCUUGAUUUAUUCGAACUUUUCCGUAACAGGGUUUCAUGUUAUUUCAUUUCUUUUCAAUAUAACUCCAAAGAUUUUUUUAUCUAUUUGCCAUUUAUCAAAUUUAAUUUUAACGUUCAGAAUUUGUUAUGGUCAACCCAUUUAUACAGGUGAUUUUCCAAGAAAAUACAGCUGUGUCUUUAAAAUUGAAAUCAUUUACGAUUAAAAUUCUUCUGCCAUACUUGUAGAACUUGUGGUUUAAAUACUGUUUGCACAAAGACAAAAUAUAUUAUAAUAAUGUUCAUCUAUAGUAUUCAAUACAGUUCUAGUAAAACGAAUUGAAAUAGUAUGUUUCCUUAUGGUUUUUUUUCAGCACCAUUAUGAAUGAAUCAAUUCUCUUUAGUUAAA